GUGGAACCAUAAAUUAUGGAGCAGCGGUGCCGUGGUGAAGGCAAGCAUUGUAUUCCUUCCUGAGUUCAUAUCAACUUUAAUCUUCCUUCUCCCGCAUUUCAUCAUUGCCUUCAGCUUUCUUCUCUGUCUUUCAGCGUUUUCUCUCAUCCGAAAGAAGAAAUGGCCGAUGCAAUCCUGUAUGGCGUUGUACAGAAGAUCAUUGAAAGCUUGGGCUCCUCCACUCUCAAACAGAUUGGAUCGAUCUGGGGUGUCAAAAAUGAUCUCGAAAAAAUGAACAACACUGUUCGCACUAUUCAAGCUGUACUUCAGGAUGCAGAGGAGCAGCAGGUCCAGAACCACCAAGCCAAGCACUGGCUCAACAGGCUCAGAGAUGUAGUUUUUGAUGCGGAUGACUUGCUGAGCGAGUUCUCCACUCAUGUGUUUCGGCGUAAGGUGAUGGGUGGUGAUAAAAUGGCAAAGAAGGUACGUAUUUUCUUUUCAAGUUCAAACCAACUCGUUUUUAGUCUUAACAUGGCUUGCAAAAUAAAAGCUAUGAGGGAGAGGCUUAAUGAUAUAUCAAAUGAUAGACACCAAUUUCAGUUGAAGUUGGUAGAUUGUCCUUUAGAGAGACGAGUUGUGACUAGGGGGAGGGAUCAAACUCACUCUUUUGUACCUGAUGAAGAUGUUAUCGGGAGAGAAAAGGAUAAGCAAGCCAUCAUAGAUCUGUUGUUGGACUUUGAUGUGGAAGAUAAUGUUUCAUUCAUAUCAAUAGUGGGAAUUGGUGGGCUAGGAAAAACCACACUGGCCCAAUAUGUAUUCAAUGAUGAGAAGGUCCAAACUAAGUUUGAGUUGAAGAUGUGGGUGUGUGUAUCUGAUGACUUUGAUGUUAAAAAAAUUGUUGAAAAGAUAAUUGAAUCUGCAACUAAAAGCAAACCUGAGAAUCUUGAGAUGGAUCUACUGCAAAAUAAACUUCGGGAACAACUCAACCAAAAGAAGUAUUUACUUGUAUUGGAUGAUGUCUGGAAUGAGGAUAGUGAAAAUUGGCAAAAUUUGAAAAUUUUAUUAAUGGGUGGUGUAAAGGGAAGUAAGGUGGUGAUAACUACACGAUCCAACAAGGUUGUGGAGAUUACUAGUACCUCAUCCUAUUUUCUAAAGGGCUUGUCAAGGGAUCAAUCCUGGUCAUUAUUAAAGAAAAUGGCAUUUAAAAAAGGCCAGGAGACCAUCAAUUCUAACCUCGAAGCAAUUGGGAUGGACAUAGUAGAAAAAUGUCGAGGAGUGCCUCUUGCUAUAAGGACGAUAGGAAAAGUCCUAUUCUUCAAAAAAACUGAAGCUGAGUGGUCAUACAUCAAGAAUACUAAACUCACAGAUGUAACUGAAUUAAAAGAUGGUAUUAUGCCGAUUUUAAAAUUGAGUUACGAUUAUCUCCCAUCACAUUUAAAAUGUUGUUUUGCAUACUGUUCAUUGUUUCCCAAAGAUUAUUUGAUUGAUAAGUUGACAUUGAUACAAUUAUGGAUAUCACAAGGUUUUGUCCAAUCAUCAGAGGAGAGCCAUGAAGUAGAGCAUGUUGCUAAUAAGUACUUCAUGGAGCUACUUUGGAGAUCCUUCUUCCAAGAAGCAGAAGAAGAUGGAGGCGGGAAUAGAAGGUUUAAAAUGCAUGAUUUAAUCCAUGAUCUUGCACAGUAUGUAUCAGAGACUAAUUGUACACUGGUUGAUACUAGUGCAAAAAAUGUGAAAGAAACAGGACACCAUCUAUCAUUUCCAUUUUAUAAUGUGUCAUUCUUUGAGGAGAAUUUAAACACGUUGGUUAAAGCAAACAAGAUACGGACAUUUAUAUUGGCAUAUAACGAGUGGGAAUAUGAUCAGGGAACAAUUGAAGAAUCAACUCUCAAAAAACUUAUUUCUACUUUUAGAUACUUGCAUGCAUUAGACCUACAUGGUUUAAAUAUGAAGAUGUUGCCAAAUACCAUAAGUACUUUGAUGCAUCUAAAGUACCUUGACCUUUCCUCUAAUGAUAUUGAGGUUCUCCCUAAUUCUAUUACAAAAUUAGUGAAUUUGCAAACAUUAAAGCUCUCUUCAUGUGAAAAGCUUAGGGAGUUACCAAAUACCAUAGGUACUUUGAUGCAUCUAAAGUACCUUGACCUUUCCUCUACUGAUAUUGAGGUUCUCCCUAGUUCUAUUACAAAAUUGGUGAAUUUGCAAACAUUAAAGCUCUGCUUAUGUAAAAAGCUUAGGGUGUUACCGGUAGAUAUUCAAAAACUGGUCAGCCUUAAGCACCUUGACGUUUCCUGUGAUGAUUUUGAAUCUAAUGAUAUUGAGGCUCUCCCUAGUUCUAUUACAAAAUUGGUGAAUUUGCAAACAUUAAAACUCAGUAAGUGUAAAAAACUUAAGGAGUUACCGGUAGAUAUUCAAAAAUUGGUCCGCCUCAAGCAUCUUGACUUAGAAGAUUGUGAGAAUUUGACUCAUAUGCCACAUGGAUUAGGGCAAUUGACUUCUCUUCAAACAUUAAACUUAUUUGUUUUGAGUGAGGGUCCUGUAGGUUCUUCCAAGCAUUGUGGUGGGCUAGCGGAAUUAAACAAGCUAAAUGACUUGAGAGGAAAAUUAGUGAUUAAAAAUUUGGCACGGGUGAAAGAUGCCACCCCAGAAUUCAAAGCUGCAAAUUUGAAGGAGAAGCAAUGUCUCAGUGAGUUGAUAUUAAAGUGGAAUUCAAAAGGUGAUGAUGAAAAUUCCAUGGAUAGCCUCCGCCCACACGAAAGUUUAAAAUCUUUGUCAGUGUAUUGGUACAUGGGUGUGAGAGUUUCAAGUUGGCUUUCAUUCUUAACAAAUCUGGUCAAAUUAGAUAUAGUCGGAUGUGAGAAGUGCCAAUAUUUGCCACCGUUGUAUCGACUCCCAUCUCUCCGAAAACUAAGUCUUAUAAAUAUGAAUGGUCUGGAGUACAUGACAGACAGGGAUAUGAAUGAUGAGAUAUCUGCUUCACUGGCAUCACCAUCAACAUUUUUCCCAUCCCUUGAGAGACUCUAUAUCAGUCUUUGCCUCAAUCUAAAGGGAUGGUGGAGGAGUGUGGAUAAGGGGAAUGAGGCAACAACGACAUCAACAAUAUCAUCAUCAUCAACUAAUCACUAUCACCAACACAUGCCGUACUUUCCGCGUCUUUCUUCUUUUUAUUUCCUUAAUUGCCCUAAGAUGACUUGCAUGCCGCUAUUUCCAAAUCUUGAAGGAAUUCUUGAAUUGAGUAAUAGCAGUUUGAAGGCAUUGGAAGAGACAAUAGAGAUGAAUAAUAGGGGAGGAAGGGCUUCUUCAUUUCCGUCCUCUUCCUCUUCCUCUUCCUCCUCCUUCUCCCCUCCUCUUUCCAAAUUAAAGAAAUUGAAGUUGAGGAAUAUAGAGGAGUUGGAGUCUCUGCCAGAGGAGUGGUUUAAAAACCUAACUUCUCUUGAGAGAUUAGAGAUUGGGCAGUUCCCCAAUUUGACGUCACUUCCCGAAGGGAUGAGUCACCUCACCUCUUUACAGAUCCUGUGUAUCACCAAUUGUCCCAAUCUGCCGUCACUUCCCGAAGGGAUGAGUCACCUCACCUCUUUACAGAGACUGAGUAUUCAGGGCUGUCCCCAAUUAAAGCAAAGAUGCGAGAAGGAAAAUGGAGAGGAUUGGGAUAAGAUUUCUCACAUCCCAAAUCUUAGAAUCUCAGAUGGGAUAAGAUUUCUCCUCUCUCCAAAUUAUCAUCAGAGAUUGAAAAGUUGAACUACUGCAUACGCUUCCCUGAAAGAACAAGAGGAUUUCAAAUGGGAAGACAGGAAAGAAGAAGAAAGCUUAUUCUUGACGUUUCAAACAUGGAUGAUGAAAAGACAAAAAAGUAGCACCGGGAUAUUUUGAAGUGCAAAGAAAAUUUUUGAAAGAGUGCCAGCAGGAAACAGGAGAUGAUUGCUAAAAACUUCUAACAUCCUAGUUUUCCUUCUAAUGCUCUAAAAUCCUCCAGUUUGAGAUCAACUUGAGCUUUAGUCUUAGAGAGAGACUGAUUGAAGGUUUGAGAAGAGUGUGAUUUCCAUGUGCAGUGGUUCUAAGCGGAAAACCUUGUGAAACAGGUUUCAUCAUGGGCAGUGAAUUUGAGAAACAAGACAGCAACAUCAUUUCAAUUUUUCUUGAAUUAUUGCGCUUUGAUGAUUUGAUUGUUUUUAAAAGUUGUAUGGAAGAAGAAUGUCAUUAUAUUGAUGAGGGAAGCUUGUGGUAUGGGAGGAGAAUUGGGUCAAAGAUGAUGGGAUUUAAAGAGAAGAUGACGGGCUUCUGCACUUCCUUUUGUUGCUGCCGUGGACUUUGCCAUUUCAAGUGAGGUAAGUGACGCAGAUGGCUAUCUUGAGAGAACAUUCGUGAGUCCAGCUUCUUUGAGGGCUGGUAACCUUAUUCAUGGAUGGAUGGAGGAUGCUGUUGGGUAGACCAGUUGGGCAAUUUACACGGUCGAGUUGAGGGAAUGAAUGCAAGUGCUGAGGCUCUGUUGAUUGGUUCUCAUCUGGCAUAAUCUCUGCAUUAUCUGCUCUGAAGGUUUUGAAUGUCAAUGGGACG